GUGGGGAAUAUUGGACAAUGGGCGAAAGCCUGAUCCAGCCAUGCCGCGUGUGUGAAGAAGGUCUUCGGAUUGUAAAGCACUUUAAGUUGGGAGGAAGGGUAGUAACCUAAUACGUUGCUACUUUGACGUUACCGACAGAAUAAGCACCGGCUAACUUCGUGCCAGCAGCCGCGGUAAUACGAAGGGUGCAAGCGUUAAUCGGGAUUACUGGGCGUAAAGCGCGCGUAGGUGGUUCAGCAAGUUGGAGGUGAAAUCCCCGGGCUCAACCUGGGAACUGCCUCCAAAACUGCAUGACUAGAGUACGGUAGAGGGUAGUGGAAUUUCCUGUGUAGCGGUGAAAUGCGUAGAUAUAGGAAGGAACACCAGUGGCGAAGGCGACUACCUGGACUGAUACUGACACUGAGGUGCGAAAGCGUGGGGAGCAAACAGGAUUAGAAACCCCAGUAGUCC
rnacentral:rRNA from 1 species